CCAAACAAAUAAGGCCAAUGUCAAAUAUGGCUCACAUGAUUUAUUAUUUAUUUAUUUUUAUAACAUAACUAAUGGUAUUAUUCCAUUUGGUUCUAUGUAACUAGAUAUUCUACAUUUCCUAGUUGUCCUGGUUAGCAAGUAGAAAGCAAUCUUCAGUUUGCUUAACUGCGCGUUAAGCUUUUGAACAUCAACAAACAGAGACAGAAACCAAAAAAGGCAACUAAAAUUUUUAUUGGUGUCAUAAAACAGCAUAAAAUUCCAAGAAAAGCAUCCACAUCUAAUAUAGCUAGGCAUAGUUGUGCAAGUAAGAUCUAGCAAUACGACCAUCAGCUCCCUGUGGGAGGAAACCUCCAGGAACACUUUCAUCACCUCCGCCAUAUACAAUUCUCAGUAUCUCCUCUGGUGUUCUUGCGAAUCCUAAGGAAUAGUUGUCUCCAGCAAGUAUAUUGCCACUGAUUUUGCCUUCUGCUCCUUGGUACUUAGGAACUAUAAGGCCUUCAUCCUUCAGACCUGCAUUUCCUAGCUCAUUCCUUAUUUCUGAAAUGCUAUCUGUGAACUCGGCUACUGUUACCCCAUAUGGAUGUAAAUUCUCCUUUGCCCGCUUGUAUAGCAAUGCUCGGAUAACUGCAUCUUGCCCGGAUUCCACAGCCAAAAGGCCUGCUACAAGCUGAACUUCCACAUAUAUUGCACCCAUCAAUGUGUUGGCGAAAAAUACCCACCAACACACACAGAUUAGAAAAUAAAGAGAGAAAAAACAAAUAUAAGAAUUUUAGGUGGUUCAGUAAAUAGACAGUCGUCUGCUUUUCUUACUACUAAAAGAUAAUAUUAUAGCCUAUUUAUAUUAAUAUAUAUGAGCCAUAACACAAUAUAGUUGGAAUUCAGCAGGUGCUACAAUUGUGAGGGAUUGCAGGCAGAGGCAUGUGGGUUCUAAUUAACACAACUCAAUUUCCAUAAUUAAAAAGACAAAAAGAACCGUUAAAAGCAUCCGGAAUCUUGAUACCUUCUUUGAAGCAGAACCUUGAAGUUUUGGGUUUGCUCCAACAUAUCCCGUGAGGCCAACAUAGGGAAUCAUAUAGCAGGCAAUAAGGAAGUUGAGAGGAGUGGCAUAGGGGUCAAAAGGUGGAGAUAGUUGUCGUCCGAAUGCCUUGUUUAUAACUUGUGCAAAUGUUUCAGCCCUUAAAUCCAGCAAUGGCCUAGGGAAUCCUUUUACUGCAUUCUUAAUUGCCCUCAAGUGUCCCACUUCUUGCCAAGCAAAUUGCUUGAUGACAUCUUUAGUGAAAGGAUCAAGAUUAGCCUUCCUACCACCAAGUGGUGCUGGACCUUGCUGGGUCAAAUUUGGAGCAAACCUAUCCAACCCAUGACCCAUAGAGCCAUGCAGAAAGAACUCAGCCUCUAGGUACUCUAAAUUGAGAGGAAAUUCAAGAAGAUCAACAUCAGAAGCUGGGACAGAAGAGUAGCUCAACCCCUCUAUAGUGGGUGGAUAGGAGUAAGAAUUUGAAGCUAGAAAGAGGAUUAAAGAAGCAAUAGUGGUGGCUAUGGUGGUAGAAGUGGGUGGAACCAUAGUUGUAUUGUUAGCUUCCUUUGAGGCUGCUAGUGUAAUGAUGCAAAGCCUCACCUUCAAG
rnacentral:misc_RNA from 1 species